rnacentral:rRNA from 1 species
UACGAAGGGGGGCUAGCGUUGCUCGGAAUUACUGGGCGUAAAGGCGCGUAGGCGGAUGUUUAAGUCGGGGGUGAAAGCCCGGGGCUCAACCUCGGAAUUGCCUUCGAUACUGGACAUCUUGAGUACGGGAGAGGUGAGUGGAACUCCGAGUGAGAGGUGAAAUUCGUAGAUAUUCGGAAGAACACCAGUGGCGAAGGCGACUCACUGGCCCGUUACUGACGCUGAGGCGCGAAAGCGUGGGAGCAAACAGG